AUAAAAACUCUAUAAUACAAGUAGUAUUUUCUUUCCCAAAAGUUUCGUAUGCUCUCCCAAAUACUUAAACCCUUUUUCCAUUCCACCAAUGAAUGAGAUUUAGCUUCAUUCUAACAAUUGAAGAUGAAGUUUAUUCAUUUACCGGAAAUAUCUACCAUGCGAUUUGAUAGGUCUCUUGUUAGAUAUAAUUGUUCCUUAUCAACGACCUUAAUUUCCUUGGUUAAAUGUGUUGUCCUGCUUGCGCCAUUUAACAUUGAAGAUUGAGAGGGACACUAUUGGCAUGCUUCCAAGUCAUCCACAUCCUGGGGAUUUUUCAGAAAAUCUAGACCAGUAAAAUCAACUGCAGGUAAUGGUAAUGCGAAGGUCAAAGUUUUGUCAUGAUGGAACCAUUGCUCAGUGAAGUGUGAAAGAUGUCCUUGAGGAUUAUUUCUUGCUAAAAAAAUUCUGCAAAAUUUGAAUAUAUGAUUAUUCUGUAGAAAUGCUGAGUUUGAACUAGUUUUACUUACCGGAGUGCCAACGAAGGUGAACAAUUUGAUAUAAGACUAACCUUUGCAGAAUUUAAGCAUUCUGUCAAUCUAAAGUAAUAAGGUGAGCACGCGGAAAAAUCUCAAGAAUGUAUAGUGGUCGUGUUAGGAGAUUACAAUGAAAGGAAGAGAAAGCAAGCAGAAGAUAGUGUGGAUGAAUUGAGAAGCUCUGCCAGAACUGCUAGUUCUUGCUGCUAGUGAUAGCUGGUUAUAAUAUAAGCUUGGUCUCUUCAUGAUGUAGUUUGCAAUUUUGUAUUUCUUUUGCCAGAUUCUUGCACUUAUGCUUGAUUAGAUCCUAUUUAAGUUGCUGGAUUCUUGCACUUAUGCUAGAUUGAUCAUAUUAAAGUCGUUGUAUUAUAUGUUAAAUUUGUAAAUUACCUCAUGUAGUGACUCCACAUGUAUUAAGAGAAAAUUCAG